CUUAGCAACCAGAGGGCUGUGCUGCACUGGAAAGCAUGAGGGGCCUAUGUGGAGCUUUCAUUCCCUUCUCAAGUGUUGGAUAUUAGUAAAUGCUUCCCUCCACUCCCUUCCCCUCUCCUGCGACUCCUCUUUGAAAAAGACUCAGCAAACCAACAAAACCCGUGCUGGCUGAAGUCCUGACUCUUGCUCUCGGAGCUGUCCGAGGUCUGGUGUAAUAGCUAUGGAUUUCCCACAGAUGACCACCAAGAUGAAGUUACGUAGCUUGGCUGCAGUCAAAAGGAUGAAUGGUGAUUCAGACUCAUUCCUGCCAACAAAGAUAUCCAAGGGACAGACGGUGAUUGAUUAAUUGAUGAUGUCAUCAUGGAGCCAUUAAGCUUUAGUCUUCUCUGGCCAAAUGGAUCAGUAAAACAGGAUUUUCCAGGUUA